rnacentral:lncRNA from 1 species
GGCAAAUUAGUUUUUAAAGCUUAUGUCUAAAAACCUGUCAAACAUCAGAUUCUCAUAUCUGAUGUAAAUAUAACAAUUAAAAUUCAGGAAAUGAAUAUAACAUUUAAAUUACUAAAUGAAGAUACAGAAAAACAGUUAAUUUCAGAAAGUACUGAUAGGAUUUAUAAUCAAUUUUCAACAUCACUAACAAAAAACCCAUAAAUUUUCACUUAUUACAGAGUGAUGCUAUUCUAGAAAUCAGAAACAGAAGCCACACAUGGGUUAUUAGCAUUUUAAAUCAUCUUAUUUUCUGGGGCUCAUCUCAGGCCUGGAGCAAUGAAAGAAUGUCAAAUAAUUUCCUUGAAUUAGGAAUUUGACCAGUAUGUGUUAAAUAAUACUUAAUAAUGAGCCCUUUUAAAACUUAGUACAAACUUGGUCUAAAUAUUUUAGUGCGUAAAUUUACUUGCAAAUUUUCAAGUCUGUUGAACAGUUAAUAAUUUACACUCUACAUGAAUAUUAUAUAGAGAUAAAAGAAUUACAAUUUAUCAAAAGAAAACACAACAUAUUUGAAUUAUGAAAGUUCUAAUAUUUUAAUUCUGAAUCAAGCUGUUACUCAAAAAACCAAAAUGACUGAAAAGCUACAUUCUCAAGAAUCCAAUUUUUGCAAAGAAUAAAUAGGAAACUAGCAGAAUCUCAAAAGAUUAAUCCCUUUAGAUUUUAAUCUUAGACUGUUGGCAUUUGGCUACAUAAAUAAUAUUUUAUAAACAUCAAUUCUACUUGGAAAAGUCUUCAUAAAUGGGCUUUUAUAGCAAAACAACAGAUAACUUUCUAAAAAGUGAAAAAUUAUAAAUGCCUUUCCUCUAUGUUUAUUUCUUUAAUGGCAAUCUUUAGGUUACUCAUGGAAAUCAAGCAGAGUUAACAUUUUAAAAGUUAUUUAAUUGAAAAAGUUGUAAUAGGCCAGAAGACAAUUUUGUAACAAAAUUUUAAAGACAUCCUUAUUAUCAAAAAGUUCAGAUUAACUUAAUGUCACAGAUUUACUAAGUCAUGUGAAUUGAAAAAAAAAUUGGGGGGGGGGCUAAUUUAACAGGUUUUAAAUUAUGUGUUUACUUAAUCUAAAAGCCAGUUUGGUACUAUGCAAACAAACAAUACCUAGGAAUAUAAACAUGUUGGCACAUACAAGAAAAUUUAAAAGCUUAGAUUUAUCACAAAUAUGUAUUUUAAAAUACAAAAUUAGGAUAAAACUUUAUUUGUAGUUUUGUAUUGUACUUUUGAAAUGUAAUUUAAAAUUAUUCAGAUAAUAUCAAACUCACAGAAAAGUUCA